GACAGAGGGGGCAAGCGUUGCUCGGAAUUACUGGGCGUAAAGGGCGCGUAGGCGGGAUGGCAAGUCGGUCGUGAAAUCCCUCGGCUCAACCGAGGAACGUCGAUCGAUACUGCUGUUCUUGAGGAUUGCAGAGGAGACUGGAAUUCCCGGUGUAGCGGUGAAAUGCGCAGAUAUCAGGAGGAACACCAAUUGCGAAGGCAGCUCGCUGGGACGUUACUGACGCUGGAGAACGCGAAAGCGUUGGGGAGCAAACAGGAUUAGACUAC
rnacentral:rRNA from 1 species